UACGGAGGGUGCAAGCGUUAUCCGGAUUCACUGGGUUUAAAGGGUGCGUAGGCGGGUAUAUAAGUCAGUGGUGAAAGCUCCGGGCUUAACUUGGAACUGCCAUUGAUACUGUAUAUCUUGAAUGUCGUUGAGUAAGCGGAAUGUUGCAUGUAGCGGUGAAAUGCUUAGAUAUGUUACAGAACACCAAUUGUGAAGACAGCUUACUAAGCGAUGAUUGACGCUGAGGCACGAAAGCGUGGGGAGCAAACAGG
rnacentral:rRNA from 1 species